GCCAGGUGUGGUGGCGAGUGCCUGUAAUCCCAGCUACUUGGGAGGCUGAGGCAGGAGAAUUGCUUGAACCCAGGAGGCAGAGGUUGCAGUGAGCCGAGAUUGCGCCACUGCACUCCAGCCUGGGCAACAGAGUAAGAUCCUGUCUCAA
rnacentral:sRNA from 1 species